GUGCCUAAUAUAUGCAAGUCGAGCGGACCGACGGGAGCUUGCUCCCUUAGGUCAGCGGCGGACGGGUGAGUAACACGUGGGUAACCUGCCUGUAAGACUGGGAUAACUCCGGGAAACCGGGGCUAAUACCGGAUGCUUGAUUGAACCGCAUGGUUCAAUCAUAAAAGGUGGCUUUUAGCUACCACUUGCAGAUGGACCCGCGGCGCAUUAGCUAGUUGGUGAGGUAACGGCUCACCAAGGCGACGAUGCGUAGCCGACCUGAGAGGGUGAUCGGCCACACUGGGACUGAGACACGGCCCAGACUCCUACGGGAGGCAGCAGUAGGGAAUCUUCCGCAAUGGACGAAAGUCUGACGGAGCAACGCCGCGUGAGUGAUGAAGGUUUUCGGAUCGUAAAACUCUGUUGUUAGGGAAGAACAAGUACCGUUCGAAUAGGGCGGCACCUUGACGGUACCUAACCAGAAAGCCACGGCUAACUACGUGCCAGCAGCCGCGGUAAUACGUAGGUGGCAAGCGUUGUCCGGAAUUAUUGGGCGUAAAGCGCGCGCAGGCGGUUUCUUAAGUCUGAUGUGAAAGCCCCCGGCUCAACCGGGGAGGGUCAUUGGAAACUGGGGAACUUGAGUGCAGAAGAGGAGAGUGGAAUUCCACGUGUAGCGGUGAAAUGCGUAGAGAUGUGGAGGAACACCAGUGGCGAAGGCGACUCUCUGGUCUGUAACUGACGCUGAGGCGCGAAAGCGUGGGGAGCGAACAGGAUUAGAUACCCUGGUAGUCCACGCCGUAAACGAUGAGUGCUAAGUGUUA
rnacentral:rRNA from 1 species